rnacentral:rRNA from 1 species
AGUGAACGCUGGCGGUAGGCCUAACACAUGCAAGUCGAACGGCAGCACCGUAAGAGCUUGCUCUCAUGGGUGUCGCGUGGCGGACGGGUGAGUAAUACUUCGGAAUCUACUUUUUCGUGGGGGAUAACGUAGGGAAACUUACGCUAAUACCGCAUACGACCUACGGGUGAAAGCAGGCGAUCUUCGGACCUUGCGCGAUGGAAUGAGCCGAUGUCGGAUUAGCUAGUUGGCGGGGGAAAGGGCCACCAAGGCGACGAUCCGUAGCUGGUCUGAGAGGAUGGUCACACAGAUUGGAAGUGAGACACGGUCGAGACUCCUGCGGGGGGAAGCAGUGGAGAAUAUUAGAGGAUGGGGGCAAGCCGAAUACAGCAAUACCGCGUGGGUGCAGAAGGCGCUAUGGUGGGAAAGCCAUUUUGUUGUGAGAGAAGAACAGCAGGUUAAUACGCCGCUGUAAUGACAGUACCCAAAGAAUAAGCACCGGCUAACUUCGUG